rnacentral:tRNA from 1 species
AUAUCAUCUCAUGGUAGAUUGAUGCGGUUUAUUGGGCCGAGCUGGAUUUGAACCAGCGUAGACAUAUUGCCAACGAAUUUACAG